rnacentral:rRNA from 1 species
AUGCCACAAAAGAAGCUCUCGAAGAGCAAGAUGGUGUUCUUUGGCGUGUGGGGAAAGCCAUCUGUCCAUUUCGGCGUGGUGUUCUCCGAUGUCGGCCGCCACUUUUGACUCAGCACCUGCCCCACCGUCCACGAGGCUGCGCAUGCCUAUGAAGUGGCGGUGUGGCGUGCCGGAAGGCCCAAGACGGACCUCAACUUCCUAGAGGUCGAGACGCAGGCGGAUGCAGAGAUGCUCAUGCCGCAGGGCAUUCCGAUGGAGGAGACACCGAAGAAGAAGGUGAAGAAGAUGCCGGCCAUUGUUAUUGGUCCUAGCGAUAGUGAGGAGGCGGCGAUGGCAAGUUUCGCGUGGGAGAAUUCGGAGUAUGUUCAGGCUGAGUAGGAGUACUUCUGGAAGCGCAAUGCCGAGGAGAAGAAGAAGAAGAAGAAGAAGGAGGAGGAGGAGGAGGAGGAGGAGGAGGAGGAGGAGGAGGACGAGGCCAAUAAGGAUGAAUUCUGGGAGCAGUUCAAGAGCUCCGAUGAUGAGAGUAGUUUUAUCUUCAGUGUAGUUCAAGUAGUAGUAGUAGUAGUAGUAGUAGUAGUAGUAGUAACUUGA